GAUGAACGCUGGCGGCGUGCCUAAUACAUGCAAGUCGAGCGAACAGACGAGGAGCUUGCUCCUCUGACGUUAGCGGCGGACGGGUGAGUAACACGUGGAUAACCUACCUAUAAGACUGGGAUAACUUCGGGAAACCGGAGCUAAUACCGGAUAAUAUAUUGAACCGCAUGGUUCAAUAGUGAAAGACGGUUUUGCUGCCACUUAUAGAUGGAUCCGCGCCGCAUUAGCUAGUUGGUAAGGUAACGGCUUACCAAGGCAACGAUGCGUAGCCGACCUGAGAGGGUGAUCGGCCACACUGGAACUGAGACACGGUCCAGACUCCUACGGGAGGCAGCAGUAGGGAAUCUUCCGCAAUGGGCGAUAGCCUGACGGAGCAACGCCGCGUGAGUGAUGAAGGUCUUCGGAUCGUAAAACUCUGUUAUUAGGGAAGAACAAAUGUGUAAGUAACUAUGCACGUCUUGACGGUACCUAAUCAGAAAGCCACGGCUAACUACGUG
rnacentral:rRNA from 1 species